rnacentral:rRNA from 1 species
AUACGUAGGGGACGAGCGUUGUCCGGAAUUACUGGGCGUAAAGGGCGCGCAGGCUGUGCUGCAAGUCAGCUGUUAAAUGUCUGGGCUUAACCCGGGCAUGCGGUUGAGACUGCAGUGCUGGAGUGCUGUAGAGGCAAGUGGAAUUCCCAGUGUAGCGGUGAAAUGCGUAGAUAUUGGGAAGAACACCGGUGGCGAAGGCGACUUGCUGGGCAGCAACUGACGCUGAGGCGCGAAAGCCAGGGGAGCAAACGGGAUUAGAUACCCCGGUAGUCCUGGCCGUAAACGAUGAAUGCUAGGUGUGGGUGUAGAGAUACAUUCGUGCCGGAGUUAACGCGAUAAGCAUUCCGCCUGGGGAGUACGGUCGCAAGAUUGAA